rnacentral:rRNA from 1 species
AGUCGAGCGGGGAAGGUAGCUUGCUACUGGACCUAGCGGCGGACGGGUGAGUAAUGCUUAGGAAUCUGCCUAUUAGUGGGGGACAACAUUCCGAAAGGAAUGCUAAUACCGCAUACGCCCUACGGGGGAAAGCAGGGGAUCUUCGGACCUUGCGCUAAUAGAUGAGCCUAAGUCGGAUUAGCUAGUUGGUGGGGUAAAGGCCUACCAAGGCGACGAUCUGUAGCGGGUCUGAGAGGAUGAUCCGCCACACUGGGACUGAGACACGGCCCAGACUCCUACGGGAGGCAGCAGUGGGGAAUAUUGGACAAUGGGCGGAAGCCUGAUCCAGCCAUGCCGCGUGUGUGAAGAAGGCCUUUUGGUUGUAAAGCACUUUAAGCGAGGAGGAGGCUCCUUUAGUUAAUACCUAAAGUGAGUGGACGUUACUCGCAGAAUAAGCACCGGCUAACUCUGUGCCAGCAGCCGCGGUAAUACAGAGGGUGCGAGCGUUAAUCGGAUUUACUGGGCGUAAAGCGUGCGUAGGCGGCUUUUUAAGUCGGAUGUGAAAUCUCUGAGCUUAACUUAGGAAUUGCAUUCGAUACUGGAAAGCUAGAGUAUGGGAGAGGAUGGUAGAAUUCCAGGUGUAGCGGUGAAAUGCGUAGAGAUCUGGAGGAAUACCGAUGGCGAAAGCAGCCAUCUGGCCUAAUACUGACGCUGAGUACGAAAGCAUGGGGAGCAAACAGGAUUAGAUACCCUGGUAGUCCAUGCCGUAAACGAUGUCUACUAGCCGUUGGGCCUUUGAGGCUUUAGUGCGCAGCUAACGCGAAUAAGUAGACGCCUGGGGAGUA